rnacentral:rRNA from 1 species
ACGGGAGGCAGCAGUGGGGAAUCUUCCGCAAUGGGCGAAAGCCUGACGGAGCAACGCCGCGUGAGUGAUGACGGCCUUCGGGUUGUAAAACUCUGUGAUCCGGGACGAAAAGGCAGAGUGCGAAGAACAAACUGCAUUGACGGUACCGGAAAAGCAAGCCACGGCUAACUACGUGCCAGCAGCCGCGGUAAUACGUAGGUGGCAAGCGUUGUCCGGAAUUAUUGGGCGUAAAGCGCGCGCAGGCGGCUUCCCAAGUCCCUCUUAAAAGUGCGGGGCUUAACCCCGUGAUGGGAAGGAAACUGGGAAGCUGGAGUAUCGGAGAGGAAAGUGGAAUUCCUAGUGUAGCGGUGAAAUGCGUAGAGAUUAGGAAGAACACCGGUGGCGAAGGCGACUUUCUGGACGAAAACUGACGCUGAGGCGCGAAAGCGUGGGGAGCAAACAGGAUUAGAUACCCUGGUAGUCCACGCCGUAAACGAUGGAUACUAGGUGUAGGAGGUAUCGACCCCUCCUGUGCC